rnacentral:tRNA from 1 species
GGGUGUGUAAUAAUUAGAUUUAUGAUAAAUCUUGCAAAGAUUUAUGAGAUUCCUUGUAAUCCACAUCUU